AUGCCCUCUCAAGGCGACCCCACCUUCCCUUCACCCCAAGACUCAGGCGAGCCCUUUACGGGGCCACGACAGCGUGACGGGGCCCAGGACGGGGUGGAAGGCAGCUACGGAGGAUCCCAAAGACACAGAACAGGCGAGUGCUAUGUCCCCCCGCCCCCCAGGGCCAACCAUCUCGGACUGAGAACAAGCACUUUACGAGGUUUGGGUUUUUGGGGGGGGGGGGGGUUCCGGGGGAAUCCACGCUACCCUCGUGUGAAGGAUGCAGCCGCAGAUGCACCAGGGGCCCAGGUGUGCUCACACGCUCGGCCACGGGCCACCGUCUGCGCCUCCCCCCCAGCCCCGUCACCUCAAAAGCCACAAGACUCCCCUGCGGGCAGGGAGGCCCCCCACAGGGCUCGCCGGACCCACCAAGGGUGCUCGGCAGCUGUGGUGUCCGGAGUGGCCGUGGGCCCGUGGCCCGUUCUCUGCGGGCUUCCCCGCAGGCCAGUGCCCAGCAGCAGGUGGGCACCCAGCAGCGGGCGGGCACCCAGCAGCGGGCAGGCACCCAGCAGCAGGCGGUCAUCCAGCAGCGGGUGGGUGCCCAGCAGUGGGCCGGCACCCAGCAGCAGGUGGGCACCCAGCAACCGGUGGGCAUCUAGCAGUCGGUGGGCACCCAGCAGCCGGCGGGCACCCAGCAGCAGGUGGGCACUUAGCAGUUGGUGGGCACCCAGCAGCAGGGGGGCACCCAGCAACCGGUGGGCACCCAGCAGCCGGCGGGCACCCAGCAGCCGGCGGGCACCCAGCAGCAGGUGGGCACCCAGCAGCAGGCUGCCAUGCUCCCCCGACUCCCUCGCAAGGCCGUCUACCAACCUCGGCCCUUACGUCCCCCUCCAGGUUCCCAACAAGGUGCCCUCCAUCCUUGCCUCCCCCCAACAACCGCCCCAGGAGUCAGAGGCCCUAGAGAGAGGGGGCUCCGUCCCGUUCCCGCAGUUGGCUCAGGCCGAGGCGCGGUCUGCAAAUUCUCUUCAAGGGUCUGGGACCUGGACUCGGAUUAGGUGCGCCCGCAGGCCAUCGCCCCCGAGCACACGGCCACGUUGCCAAAUAAACAGAGCGUCACCAAAUGCUGCCGUCCGCCCUCGGUACGGCGUGUGUGGAUCACGCCGGCGAAGGCCUCGAGGAGCCUACCGGGGAGCCUGCUGCCCAAAACCACCCCAACCCCAGGGCAGGGGCCGCUUACACGACGUCACCGCAAGGCCAGGGGAAUCCUGCCACCUGCAAUGA
rnacentral:lncRNA from 12 species